UGCGGAGGGUGCAAGCGUUGCUCGGAAUUAUUGGGCGUAAAGGGUAGGUAGGUGGUCUCAUUUGUCAGGGGUGAAAGCCUUGGGCUCAACCCAAGAAGUGCCCCUGAAACGGUGAGACUAGAGUCCUAGAGAGGUGAGUGGAAUUCCCGGUGUAGCGGUGAAAUGCGUAGAGAUCGGGAGGAACACCAGAGGCGAAGGCGGCUCACUGGAUAGGCACUGACACUCAACUACGAAAGCGUGGGGAGCAAACAGG
rnacentral:rRNA from 1 species